CCUACGGGAGGCAGCAGUGAGGAAUAUUGGUCAAUGGACGCAAGUCUGAACCAGCCAUGCCGCGUGCAGGAAGACGGCUCUAUGAGUUGUAAACUGCUUUUGUACGAGGGUAAAUCCCGAUACGUGUAUCGGAUUGAAAGUAUCGUACGAAUAAGGAUCGGCUAACUCCGUGCCAGCAGCCGCGGUAAUACGGAGGAUUCAAGCGUUAUCCGGAUGUAUUGGGUUUACAGGGUGCGUAGGCGGUUCGAUAAGUUAGAGGUGAAAUCCCGGGGCUCAACUCCGGCACUGCCUCUGAUACUGUCGGGCUAGAGUUUAGUUGCGGUAGGCGGAAUGUAUGGUGUAGCGGUGAAAUGCAUAGAGAUCAUACAGAACACCAGUGGCGAAGGCGGCUUACUGGACUGUAACUGACGUUGAGGCUCGAAAGCGUGGGGAGCAAACAGGAUUAGAUACCCUAGUAGUC
rnacentral:rRNA from 1 species